UGGCAAUUGGAAUGGGUCCUCUACAAGAGC
rnacentral:piRNA from 1 species